rnacentral:tRNA from 1 species
UCCCUGGUGGCUCAGAUGGUAAAGCAUCUGCCUCCAAUGCGGGAGACCCAGGUUCAAUCCCCAGCUCGGGAA